rnacentral:rRNA from 1 species
AACGAACGCUGGCGGCAUGCCUGACACAUGCAAGUCGAACGAGAUCUUCGGGUCUAGUGGCGCACGGGUGCGUAACGCGUGGGAAUCUGCCCUUUGGUUCGGAAUAACAGUUGGAAACGACUGCUAAUACCGGAUGAUGACGAAAGUCCAAAGACUAUCGCCAGAGGAUGAGCCCGCGUAGGAUUAGCUAGUUGGUGUGGUAAAGGCGCACCAAGGCGACGAUCCUUAGCUGGUCUGAGAGGAUGAUCAGCCACACUGGGACUGAGACACGGCCCAGACUCCUACGGGAGGCAGCAGUGGGGAAUAUUGGACAAUGGGCGAAAGCCUGAUCCAGCAAUGCCGCGUGAGUGAUGAAGGCCUUAGGGUUGUAAAGCUCUUUUACCCGGGAUGAUAAUGACAGUACCGGGAGAAUAAGCUCCGGCUAACUCCGUGCCAGCAGCCGCCGUAA